rnacentral:rRNA from 1 species
GGUUAAGCGACUAAGCGUACACGGUGGAUGCCCUGGCAGUCAGAGGCGAUGAAGGACGUGCUAAUCUGCGAAAAGCGUCGGUAAGGUGAUAUGAACCGUUAUAACCGGCGAUGUCCGAAUGGGGAAACCCAGUGCAAUUCGUUGCACUAUCGUUAACUGAAUACAUAGGUUAACGAGGCGAACCGGGGGAACUGAAACAUCUAAGUACCCCGAGGAAAAGAAAUCAACCGAGAUUCCCCCAGUAGCGGCGAGCGAACGGGGAGCAGCCCAGAGUCUGAAUCAGCUUGUGUGUUAGUGGAACGGUCUGGAAAGUCCGACGGUACAGGGUGAUAGUCCCGUACACCAAAAUGCACAGGUUGUGAACUCGAAGAGUAGGGCGGGACACGUGGUAUCCUGUCUGAAUAUGGGGGGACCAUCCUCCAAGGCUAAAUACUCCUGACUGACCGAUAGUGAACCAGUACCGUGAGGGAAAGGCGAAAAGAACCCCGGCGAGGGGAGUGAAAAAGAACCUGAAACCGUGUACGUACAAGCAGUGGGAGCACCUUCGGGUGUGACUGCGUACCUUUUGUAUAAUGGGUCAGCGACUUAUAUUCUGUAGCAAGGUUAACCGUAUAGGGGAGCCGCAGGGAAACCGAGUCUUAACUGGGCGUUAAGUUGCAGGGUAUAGACCCGAAACCCGGUGAUCUAGCCAUGGGCAGGUUGAAGGUUGGGUAACACUAACUGGAGGACCGAACCGACUAAUGUUGAAAAAUUAGCGGAUGACUUGUGGCUGGGGGUGAAAGGCCAAUCAAACCGGGAGAUAGCUGGUUCUCCCCGAAAGCUAUUUAGGUAGCGCCUCGUGAACUCAUCUUCGGGGGUAGAGCACUGUUUCGGCUAGGGGGUCAUCCCGACUUACCAACCCGAUGCAAACUACGAAUACCGAAGAAUGUUAUCACGGGAGACACACGGCGGGUGCUAACGUCCGUCGUGAAGAGGGAAACAACCCAGACCGCCAGCUAAGGUCCCAAAGUCAUGGUUAAGUGGGAAACGAUGUGGGAAGGCACAGACAGCCAGGAUGUUGGCUUAGAAGCAGCCAUCAUUUAAAGAAAGCGUAAUAGCUCACUGGUCGAGUCGGCCUGCGCGGAAGAUGUAACGGGGCUAAACCAUGCACCGAAGCUGCGGCAGCGACACUAUGUGUUGUUGGGUAGGGGAGCGUUCUGUAAGCCUGCGAAGGUGUGCUGUGAGGCAUGCUGGAGGUAUCAGAAGUGCGAAUGCUGACAUAAGUAACGAUAAAGCGGGUGAAAAGCCCGCUCGCCGGAAGACCAAGGGUUCCUGUCCAACGUUAAUCGGGGCAGGGUGAGUCGACCCCUAAGGCGAGGCCGAAAGGCGUAGUCGAUGGGAAACAGGUUAAUAUUCCUGUACUUGGUGUUACUGCGAAGGGGGGACGGAGAAGGCUAUGUUAGCCGGGCGACGGUUGUCCCGGUUUAAGCAUGUAGGCUGGUUAUCCAGGCAAAUCCGGAUAAUCAAGGCUGAGGUGUGAUGACGAGGCACUACGGUGCUGAAGUAACAAAUGCCCUGCUUCCAGGAAAAGCCUCUAAGCAUCAGGUAACAUCAAAUCGUACCCCAAACCGACACAGGUGGUCAGGUAGAGAAUACCAAGGCGCUUGAGAGAACUCGGGUGAAGGAACUAGGCAAAAUGGUGCCGUAACUUCGGGAGAAGGCACGCUGGUGUGUAGGUGAAGUCCCUGCGGAUGGAGCUGAGACCAGUCGAAGAUACCAGCUGGCUGCAACUGUUUAUUAAAAACACAGCACUGUGCAAACACGAAAGUGGACGUAUACGGUGUGACGCCUGCCCGGUGCCGGAAGGUUAAUUGAUGGGGUUAUCCGUAAGGAGAAGCUCUUGAUCGAAGCCCCGGUAAACGGCGGCCGUAACUAUAACGGUCCUAAGGUAGCGAAAUUCCUUGUCGGGUAAGUUCCGACCUGCACGAAUGGCGUAAUGAUGGCCAGGCUGUCUCCACCCGAGACUCAGUGAAAUUGAACUCGCUGUGAAGAUGCAGUGUACCCGCGGCAAGACGGAAAGACCCCGUGAACCUUUACUAUAGCUUGACACUGAACAUUGAGCCUUGAUGUGUAGGAUAGGUGGGAGGCUUUGAAGCGUGGACGCCAGUCUGCGUGGAGCCAACCUUGAAAUACCACCCUUUAAUGUUUGAUGUUCUAACGUUGGCCCCUGACCGGGGUUGCGGACAGUGUCUGGUGGGUAGUUUGACUGGGGCGGUCUCCUCCCAAAGCGUAACGGAGGAGCACGAAGGUUAGCUAAUCCUGGUCGGACAUCAGGAGGUUAGUGCAAUGGCAUAAGCUAGCUUGACUGCGAGCGUGACGGCGCGAGCAGGUGCGAAAGCAGGUCAUAGUGAUCCGGUGGUUCUGAAUGGAAGGGCCAUCGCUCAACGGAUAAAAGGUACUCCGGGGAUAACAGGCUGAUACCGCCCAAGAGUUCAUAUCGACGGCGGUGUUUGGCACCUCGAUGUCGGCUCAUCACAUCCUGGGGCUGAAGUAGGUCCCAAGGGUAUGGCUGUUCGCCAUUUAAAGUGGUACGCGAGCUGGGUUUAGAACGUCGUGAGACAGUUCGGUCCCUAUCUGCCGUGGGCGCUGGAGAAUUGAGGGGGGCUGCUCCUAGUACGAGAGGACCGGAGUGGACGCAUCACUGGUGUUCGGGUUGUCAUGCCAAUGGCACUGCCCGGUAGCUAAAUGCGGAAGAGAUAAGUGCUGAAAGCAUCUAAGCACGAAACUUGCCCCGAGAUGAGUUCUCCCUGAGACUAUAAGUCUCCUGAAGGAACGUUAAAGACGAUGACGUUGAUAGGCCGAGUGUGUAAGCGCAGCGAUGCGUUGAGCUAACCGGUACUAAUGAACCGUGAGGCUUAACCUU